rnacentral:rRNA from 1 species
GACAGAGGGGGCAAGCGUUGCUCGGAAUUACUGGGCGUAAAGGGCGCGUAGGCGGGAUGGCAAGUCGGUCGUGAAAUCCCUCGGCUCAACUGAGGAUCGUCGAUCGAUACUGCCGUUCUUGAGGAUUGCAGAGGAGACUGGAAUUCCCGGUGUAGCGGUGAAAUGUGUAGAGAUCGGGAGGAACACCGGUGGCGAAGGCGGGUCUCUGGGCAGUAACUGACGCUGAGGAGCGAAAGCGUGGGGAGCGAACAGG